rnacentral:rRNA from 1 species
GUACCCUACGGGGGGCAGCAGUCGAGAAUCAUUCACAAUGGGGGAAACCCUGAUGGUGCGACGCCGCGUGAGGGAAGACGGUCUUCGGAUUGUAAACCUCUGUCUUUGGGGAAGAAAAUGACGGUACCCAAAGAGGAAGCUCCGGCUAACUACGUGCCAGCAGCCGCGGUAAUACGUAGGGAGCGAGCGUUGUCCGGAAUUACUGGGUGUAAAGGGAGCGUAGGCGGGCGAGAAAGUUGAAUGUUAAAUCUACCGGCUUAACUGGUAGCUGCGUUCAAAACUUCUUGUCUUGAGUGAAGUAGAGG